UACGAAGGGGGCUAGCGUUGCUCGGAAUCACUGGGCGUAAAGCGCACGUAGGCGGCUUUCUAAGUCAGGGGUGAAAUCCUGGAGCUCAACUCCAGAACUGCCUUUGAUACUGGAAAGCUUGAGUUCGGGAGAGGUGAGUGGAACUGCGAGUGUAGAGGUGAAAUUCGUAGAUAUUCGCAAGAACACCAGUGGCGAAGGCGGCUCACUGGCCCGAUACUGACGCUGAGGUGCGAAAGCGUGGGGAGCGAACAGG
rnacentral:rRNA from 1 species